CUGCCUGUUUAUUCUGACCUGGUACCUGCUCUUUUUUUUAAUUCCUCGUAGAAGGUACAGGCUGAGCUGUCUGCAAUCUGCUCUGGGUGUGAAGGAAUGACUGUGUGCAUAGCUCUGCCUGCACAGGAUAAAUAAUGAGAAUUAGCAGGAGACACUGGAGAGGGUUUCAGCACCAUAGGGGUCAAUGGGAUGAGGGGACAGCGACUAAUGAUGCUCUAGCACCAUCUGUCCUGGCCUCAUCCCCGGCGCGUGCAGCUCCCGUGUUAUGCCACCUGCUGGCCACU